UACGGGGGGGGCAAGCGUUGUUCGGAAUUACUGGGCGUAAAGCGCGCGUAGGCGGCUUUGCAAGUCGGGUGUGAAAUCCCCAGGCUUAACCUGGGAACUGCAUUCGAGACUGCAUUGCUAGAGUAUGGGAAAGGGAAGUGGAAUUUCCGGUGUAGCGGUGAAAUGCGUAGAUAUCGGAAGGAACAUCAGUGGCGAAAGCGACUUCCUGGACCAAUACUGACGCUCAUGUGCGAAAGCGUGGGGAGCAAACAGG
rnacentral:rRNA from 1 species